GGGGGUAACGGCCCACCAAGGCGACGACGGGUAGCCGGCCUGAGAGGGCGACCGGCCACACUGGGACUGAGUCACGGCCCAGACUCCUACGGGAGGCAGCAGUGGGGAAUAUUGCGCAAUGGGGGAAACCCUGACGCAGCGACGCCGCGUGCGGGAUGAAGGCCUUCGGGUUGUAAACCGCUUUCAGCAGGGGCGAAUCCAGACGGUACCUGCAGAAGAAGCGCCGGCUAACUACGUGCCAGCAGCCGCGGUAAUACGUAGGGCGCAAGCGUUGUCCGGAAUUAUUGGGCGUAAAGAGCUCGUAGGCGGCCUGUCACGUCUGCUGUGAAAUCCCGGGGCUUAACCCCGGGCGUGCAGUGGAUACGGGCUGGCUGGAGGCAGGCAGGGGAGAACGGAAUUCCCGGUGUAGCGGUGAAAUGCGCAGAUAUCGGGAGGAACACCGGUGGCGAAGGCGGUUCUUUGGG
rnacentral:rRNA from 1 species